UUGGAGGGCAAGUCUGGUGCCAGCAGCCGCGGUAAUUCCAGCUCCAAUAGCGUAUAUUAAAGUUGUUGCAGUUAAAAAGCUCGUAGUUGAAUUUCGGGAUCAAUACGUCGGUCGUGCUUUCGGGUACGUACUGGCGUCAUUGGUUUCUCCUUUCUGACGAACCAUGAUGUCAUUAAUUUGGUGUUAUGGGGAGUUAGGACUGUUACUUUGAAAAAAUUAGAGUGUUUAAAGCAGGCAUUAGCUUGAAUACAUUAGCAUGGAAUAAUGAAAUAGGACGUUCGAUCCUAUUUUGUUGGUUUCUAGGAUCAACGUAAUGAUUAAUAGGGAUAGUUGGGGGCAUUAGUAUUCAAUUGUCAGAGGUGAAAUUCUUGGAUUUAUUGAAGACUAACUACUGCGAAAGCAUUUGCCAAGGAUGUUUUCAUUAAUCAAGAACGAAAGUUAGGGGAUCGAAGACGAUCAGAUACCGUCGUAGUCUUAACCAUAAACUAUGCCGACUAGGGAUCGGAUGAUGUUAAUUUUUUAAUGACUCAUUCGGCGCCUUACGGGAAACCAAAGUGUUUGGGUUC
rnacentral:rRNA from 1 species